UACGUAGGGGGCAAGCGUUGUCCGGAAUCAUUGGGCGUAAAGCGCGUGUAGGCGGUUCGGUAAGUCCGCUGUGAAAGUCGGGGGCUCAACCCUCGGAUGCCGGUGGAUACUGUCGAGCUUGAGUACGGAAGAGGCGAGUGGAAUUCCUGGUGUAGCGGUGAAAUGCGUAGAUAUCAGGAGGAACACCGGUGGCGAAGGCGCACAUCUGGCCCGAUACUGACGCUGAGGCGCGAAAGCUAGGGGAGCAAACGGG
rnacentral:rRNA from 1 species